rnacentral:rRNA from 1 species
GAUGAACGCUGGCGGCGUGCCUAAUACAUGCAAGUCGAGCGAACGGACGAGAAGCUUGCUUCUCUGAUGUUAGCGGCGGACGGGUGAGUAACACGUGGAUAACCUACCUAUAAGACUGGGAUAACUUCGGGAAACCGGAGCUAAUACCGGAUGAUAUUUUGAACCGCAUGGUUCAAAAGUGAAAGACGGUCUUGCUGUCACUUAUAGAUGGAUCCGCGCUGCGUUAGCUAGUUGGUAAGGUAACGGCUUACCAAGGCAACGAUGCAUAGCCGACCUGAGAGGGUGAUCGGCCACACUGGAACGGAGACGCGGUCCAGACUCCUACGGGAGGCAGCAGUAGGGAAUCUUCCGCAAUGGGCGGAAGCCUGACGGAGCAACGCCGCGUGAGUGAUGAAGGUCUUCGGAUCGUAAAACUCUGUUAUUAGGGAAGAACAUAUGUGUAAGUAACUGUGCACAUCUUGACGGUACCUAAUCAGAAAGCCACGGCUAACUACGUG